rnacentral:rRNA from 1 species
UGGGGAAUAUUGGGCAAUGGGCGCAAGCCUGACCCAGCAACGCCGCGUGAAGGAAGAAGGCUUUCGGGUUGUAAACUUCUUUUAUUAAGGACGAAAGAAAUGACGGUACUUAAUGAAUAAGCUCCGGCUAACUACGUGCCAGCAGCCGCGGUAAUACGUAGGGAGCAAGCGUUAUCCGGAUUUACUGGGUGUAAAGGGCGUGUAGGCGGGAGUGCAAGUCAGAUGUGAAAACUAUGGGCUCAACCCAUAGCCUGCAUUUGAAACUGUACUUCUUGAGUACUGGAGAGGCAGGCGGAAUUCCGUGUGUAGCGGUGAAAUGCGUAGAUAUACGGAGGAACACCAGUGGCGAAGGCGGCCUGCUGGACAGCAACUGACGCUGAGGCGCGAAAGCGUGGGGAGCAAACA